UCCCUACUUACCAACAGGCUCAUUUGCCGUGU
rnacentral:piRNA from 1 species